rnacentral:ncRNA from 1 species
CCAAAAGGGUUAAUAUAAUGGCUCUUGUAAAAUUCCUCUAAUUCGGUGAACAUCUCAAAUGAGACAAUACCGAGCGAAGCCCUUAAAGGGAACGUGUAACGACUAGUCGAAAGACGUACAUCCAAGCGGAUGGAAACGGGGAACAUAAUUGAUAAAAUUAUGAAGAGAUAGUCUACUCUAUAUGGUGACAUAUAG